UAGAGUUUGAUCCUGGCUCAGGACGACCGUUGGCGGCGUGCCUAACACAUGCAAGUCAACUUGACUGAAGGCUCAAUCUGACAGUAGAGUGGCGCAAGGGUGCGUAACGCGUAAGUAACUUGCCCCAAGGUAAGGAAUAACGUCGAGAAAUCGGCGCUAAUACCUCAUAAUGCAGCGGAUCCGCAUGGAUAUGUUGUUAAAGGUUUACCGCCUUGGGAUAGGCUUGCGUCUGAUUAGCUAGUUGGUGUGGUAACGGCACACCAAGGCUACGAUCAGUAACUGGUCUGAGAGGAUGAUCAGUCACACUGGAACUGAGACACGGUCCAGACUCCUACGGGAGGCAGCAGUGAGGAAUAUUGGGCAAUGCUCGAAAGAGUGACCCAGCAACGCCGCGUGGAGGAUGAAGGUAUUCUAUAUCGUAAACUCCUGUGAGAGCAGACGAAAGACAGAUUAUUAAUCUGGAUGACUGUAUGCUCAGAGGAAGCCCCGGCUAACUACGUGCCAGCAGCCGCGGUAAUA
rnacentral:rRNA from 1 species